GUCGUCCUUGAUGCCUCGUUCCCGCACUCCUGUUUGCCUGAGUUCUGCUCUGCGUGUACCGACCCACGCCUCUCCUCUGACCACCCUCGUUUUUGGUCAACCAUAUCAAAUUCUGACAAGGCAAACUCAUUGUGUUUAUCGGCUGUUACAAGUUCUGGAGCUAUUUGAUUUGAGGGGGGUGUGAGCUUGUCAACCACAGCAAACAGAGUGUGGAUUCUAUUUAUCAUCAUCAGUCAACAUUGGAUCAUUCAGAGAUCCUCACUGAACUUCUGGUGAUUGGCUGGCAACCAGUUUGAGGUGUAUGCACCUCUCGCCCAGAGUCACUUGAGAUAGCUUUCAGCUUGCCCAUAACUCCAGAGAGGACAAGCGGUGCAGAAAACGGAUGGAUGGAAAAUAAAAACAGGACAACAUCUUUGGAAAACAACUGGAGGAGAAGCAAGAGUAUUUCCAAACUCAAUACGAACUUGGGCCUAUGACAAGAAUUCUGAGUCAAACACUAUGACUUUAGUUCACCAAAAAUAAACCAAGAAAUUUGUGUAAGGGAAAAUAAAUCAUAAAACGGUAACAACAACCAACUGAAGGGUAAGUUUAACAGAAGAACACAAAAGUCACACAGCAGCAUUUAAACAUUUCAAAACGUUCCGAAUCCCAAUAAAGCUUUGUCUCUCUUCCACAACAGAGUGGAACAGCAGAGCAAAAUGUAAUUUCAUAGAGACCAAAGUGAUAAUAAAUAUUCAAAUCAUACAGAAAGCAUUAUUAAUGCAACAUUUUAUCUUUUUAAAAUACAAUCAAUACCCUCCAUAGAAGAAAAUCCUAUUAGUUAAUGCAGCACAUUGUUUAGGCAAGAUCUAACUAACAGGAUGACAGUAAAGUGACAAUGCAAUGUUAUUGUUCCAGAGUGUGUAAAAAGGUCCAAUGUACAUUCGCUUCAGUGACAGUACAGAUAUUCUUUUCUCAAGUGGGAGUCAUUUAUGAUGUUGAUGCAAGGCAAUUGUUGUCAGAGCUUUGAUGUAUUCAUUGAAGAAAUUGUUCCAAAAACUUGCAGUGCAGAUGUUGGUUUUGCAAAGGCUGGUGUCUGAUUGGGGGCAAGGCGAGUAUGUAUGGGAUGGGGGGGGCUGUUUACAAUACGGUAGGCAUGUAUUGAUGUCCUGGAUUGGAGCUUGGGGGACUUCAAUUAUUCUUUUCAGCUGUUUACACUAUGCAAUGUAUGGAUUUGAAGCUGGUGGACAGGACUUUCUACAGCUCCUGUCCAGAGACGGUGCUGAUGAUAGUCGGGGGUGGUGGGUAGUGGGGGACCGGCUCUCUUCUUUCUCUGAAGGAAAAGAAGGCCCUUUUUCAGGAUAUGAACACCAAGAAAAUCUUUUAAAAGGAAGCCUUCAAAGCUCCAAUUUUUAUCAGUGGAAGUCCAUGCACCUGACACCUUUAUAAAGUGUUUCUUUUCUGCUGAAAAUAUAUAUAUUUUUUUACCUCUCAAAUCUGCAAGGUCAUUUUGUAGUAAACCAAAGCCUUAGUGAGUUACUAUUUAUAAUUCUCGCUGUAAUGGGCACAAGUUUGGGAAAAAAGAUUGCUUCCCUUUCAAUUGUUUGGUUAUUGACGUUUUCUUUUUCAUUUUUGCGCUUUUAAUUUCAAUAUUCCGUGUCAGAGUAAAAAAAAUGAAAAUGUUGUCAGUUCAACCAUGUAAGUUAUCAUUAUGUGUCUGUCAACAUCAUAUUGAUUUAAAAUACUCCUGAUGCAGAUGAUGGAUACUGCCCAGGCCAGACCACCAAGCAAAAACUGUUGGCUUGGGAGGAGUCAAGUUAUUUGAAACUUUUGAAUAGCCUUGAAGAGUUUUGAUCAACUUUUUCACACCUCAAAAGAGGCAAGGAGUGCACCGUCCACACAAUAUAUAUUGUGGGUAAAUGUCUUUUGGGUUUGACUGAGCAUGUAGUUGAAUACUUUGAGGAUCUCCUCAAGCUUCCUGGCACAACGAGGGUGUGGUGCCCACAAGGAGUGGGGCAAAAUAUUUGUUGAGAGGUGAAAAAGUCACAUUUUAAGUCAGAGUUGAAUUGAAAUAAUUUAUUUCCAGAAAAGGUUGUGCAACAAAAUAAGAAGUUGAUGUUUUUAGUGUUCUUAUUUUUGUUUGAAAUAUUUCUGUUAGGGCUGCACGGUGAAGCAGCUGGAAAGUGUUGGCCUCAUAGUUCUUAGGUCCCGGGUUCAAUCCCCGUCUGUGUGGAGUUUGCAUGUUCUCCCCAUGCCUGUGUGGAUUUUCUUUGGGCACUCCAGUUUCCUCCCACAUCCCAAAAACAUACAUUAAUUGGACACUCCAAUUUGCCCCUAGGUCUGAUUGUGAGUGGCUCUAUGUACCCUGCAAUUGGCUGGCAACAAGUUCAGUGUUUACUCCGCCUCCUGCCCGUUGACAGCUGGGACCCUUGUGAGGAUAAGCUUAGAAAAUGGAUGGAUAUUUCUAUUGGAAAAACAACGCAUGAUUUUAAUUUGAUAAUUUUCUUCUUGCAACAACAAUGGACAUGGACAUUUUCUUGAGCUCAGAUUGUAUGGAAGAAAAGGGUUCACGGUUUAGAUACAUAAUAUUCGAUGAACAGAUGAAAAAACCCAACAGGCCAAACAACAAUCAAGGGAGAGCUAUAAAAUGUGAUCAAUAUGGUUUCUCCACAGGCACAUGCUAGAUGAAUUGAAGUUACUCAAAUGCACAAGUGAAACAAAGAUUCAACAAUCUCAUAUAUUUUUUUUAAAAGAUGGAAAAAAAAAAUGAACAAUGUUGUUCCCGUUAAGCAAAUGUCAUGCAGCUAAACUGAUGGUUUUUUUUGUGUUUGAAUAAAUAUCCCAUUGGAAUGAUGCACACAUUGGGCAACUUUACUGUACUUGAGGUUUCUUUAGAUAAUGCUGCUGGCUUGACCAAAGCUGAUUUAGUUGAAAAUGGAGACACAUGAAAUCUCAUUAUUGCAGGAACAGAGAAACCACUUGUCAGUGGGUGCACAUUUAACAGUCAAGGAGGGAUUAAAGAUGAUAAA